rnacentral:rRNA from 1 species
GACGUAGGGCGCGAGCGUUGUCCGGAUUUAUUGGGCGUAAAGAGCUCGUAGGCGGCUUGUCGCGUCGUCCGUGAAAACCUGCAGCUCAACUGCAGGCUUGCGGUCGAUACGGGCAGGCUAGAGUUCGGUAGGGGAGACUGGAAUUCCUGGUGUAGCGGUGAAAUGCGCAGAUAUCAGGAGGAACACCGAUGGCGAAGGCAGGUCUCUGGGCCACUACUGACGCUGAGAAGCGAAAGCAUGGGGAGCAAACAGG